CGUAGGUGGCAAGCGUUGUCCGGAUUUAUUGGGUUUAAAGGGUGCGUAGGCGGUUCCAUAAGUCAGUGGUGAAAUACGGCAGCUCAACUGUCGAGGUGCCAUUGAUACUGCGGAACUUGAGUACUGAUGAGGUAGGCGGAAUUGACGGUGUAGCGGUGAAAUGCUUAGAUAUCGUCAAGAACACCGAUAGCGAAGGCAGCUUACCAAGCAGUAACUGACGCUCAGGCACGAAAGUGCGGGGAUCAAACAGGAUUAGAUACCCUGGUAGUCCGCACAGUAAACGAUGAUUACUCGAUGUUGGCGAUACACAGCCAGCGUCUUAGCGAAAGCGAUAAGUAAUCCACCUGGGGAGUACGCCCGCAAGGGUG
rnacentral:rRNA from 1 species